rnacentral:rRNA from 1 species
GACGAACGCUGGCGGCGUGCCUAAUACAUGCAAGUAGAACGCUGAAGAGAGGAGCUUGCUCUUCUUGGAAGAGUUGCGAACGGGUAAGUAACGCGUAGGUAACCUGCCUUGUAGCGGGGGAUAACUAUUGGAAACGAUAGCUAAUACCGCAUAACAAUGGAUGACCCAUGUCAUUUAUUUGAAAGGGGCAACUGCUCCACUACAAGAUGGACCUGCGUUGUAUUAGCUAGUAGGUGAGGUAACGGCUCACCUAGGCGACGAUACAUAGCCGACCUGAGAGGGUGAUCGGCCACACUGGGACUGAGACACGGCCCAGACUACUACGGGAGGCAGCAGUAAGGAAUCUUCGGCAAUGGGGGCAACCCUGACCGAGCAACGCCGCGUGAGUGAAGAAGGUUUUCGGAUCGUAAAGCUCUGUUGUAAGUCAAGAACGAGUGUGAGAGUGGAAAGUUCACACUGUGACGGUAGCUUACCAGAAAGGGACGGCUAACUACGUGCCAGCCGCCGCAGUAA